rnacentral:rRNA from 1 species
AGAAUCAACGCUGGCGGCGUGCCUAACACAUGCAAGUCGAACGAGAAAGUGGAGCAAUCCAUUAGUAAAGUGGCGCACGGGUGAGUAACACGUGACUAACCUACCCUUGAGUGGGGGAUAACCUAGGGAAACCUGGGCUAAUACCGCAUAAUACCUUCGGGUCAAAGGAGCAAUUCGCUUAAGGAGGGGGUCGCGGCCGAUUAGUUAGUUGGCGGGGUAAUGGCCCACCAAGACUAUGAUCGGUAUCCGGCCUGAGAGGGCGCACGGACACACUGGAACUGAAACACGGUCCAGACUCCUACGGGAGGCAGCAGUGGGGAAUUUUGCGCAAUGGGGAAACCCUGACGCAGCAACGCCGCGUGGAGGAUGAAGCCCCUUGGGCGUAAACUCCUUUCGAUCGGGACGAUAAUGACGGUACCGAGAGAAGAAGCCCGGCUAACGUUCGUGCCAGCAGCCGC